ensembl:lncRNA
CUGAAAAUGUACCCAUUUGAGAUAAUUUGUGCCACAGCAUUUCUAAAAGCCUAAUAUUAAUGAAUGAGUUUUGGAGCCAUAUGGUGUUGGACUUACAUUCUUUCCUCCUCUUCUCGGAACAAGGACUGAGAAAGAAGAGGAAACCAGACAUGUUCCCUGAAAUAUCUCAGGAUUCUAAAAUCACAAAAUGCUACCCAUGUGAGAUGGGAAUUUUGCAUUCAAGGCAAGGGUAACAUUAUUUCCUGAAUAAUAGUGACACCUGCAAUCCUUACUAUCACAGAAAAUGAGACAGCACCCUGGGACAACCGGAUUUUCCUAUGUCUGGCUCAAGCUUUACUGAGUUAUACUGGUCUAAGCACACCUUGAUUUAUCCAACUUGCCCACUAAACUGGAGCUCUACAUUCCCUCUGUACAGCAUAGCCAUACCAAAGCAAGCUGAAUGCAGAUGACUGAGACCUGCUCUCUCAAGCACUCUGCUCCUCCCUGGUCAGUUGCAUACUUAUGUAAAUCAAGAUACUUGGGGACUUCCCUGGUGGCACAGUGGUUAAGACCCUGUGCUUCUACUGUAGGGGAUGCAGGUUUGAUCCCUGGUUAGGAAACUGAGAUCCCACAGAUUGUGUAGCAUGGCAACAAAUGAAGAAGCUUGUUCGCACACUUUUUAGAUGGUCAGUUUUA